CUUAUUAACCGGAAGGCAGGCACCUCCCCUCUACCACCGGCUCCAUUCCGCCGCACACACCGAUCACUCCUUGCCCGCUUCACGCAGUUUCGCCGCCAAGUGAGUCAGUCCGCGAGCGAUUCUUCCCCGCCGGUCGGCCAAUCUCUCGCACCCAUCGAUCGGGAGGACGUGGGUAAUUAAUUAAACGGAGCACCUCGGUCUCGGUUAAUUUUGUUUGUUGUUGUUGUUGGGGGUGGAGGCCGGCCGAUCUGAUGGAGCUGGUCCUGGUGAUAUCGCUGCCUCUGCUGGCGCUCAUCGUGAUCGCCGCCAUCGUCCUCUGCGUCAUCUGCCGCUAGCUCUCCGUUCGGCCAUGGCAGCAGCCGGAGCUGCGUGCUACUACAACAUUUAAUCAUUCAUGUACGUGUACGUACGUAUGUAUGUAUUUUGUGAUGCGUCACAUUCAGAUGAUCGUUAGUUUUGCUGCCCGAUGUUGUUUGCAAGCCCCUCUGCACUAUUGAAGCCUCUGCUUAGCCCCUCAACAAAAUUUUUGGUAUUACUAAAGAGAAGGAUGAGCUAAAAACAAUUCUCUUUUAUUUAACGUCUUCUAAUAUUUUUUUUCUAGAUCCGUCACCGGUGGUUGGGCCAAACAGUUGAGUGAGCGAGUGAGUGACAACUGACAAAAAAAAAACACAUUAUUUUUGUCUUCUUCUUCGUUCUUCUUUGACCUGGCAUCGCAUCGAUUC